GACGAAGGGGGCGAGCGCUAUCCGGAAUGACUGGGCGUAAAGGGUUCGUAGGCGGUCUUUUUUGUGAAUGGUAAAAUCUAAGAGCUCAACUCUUAAAUGCUUUUCAAACGUUAAGACUAUGAGUGGGAGAGGAGAUAGCAGAAUUUCACAUGGAGGGGUGAUAUCCAGAGAGAUGUGAAGGAAUUCCAGUGGCGAAGGCGGCUAUCUAGAUCCAGACUGACGCUGAGGAACGAAAGCAUGGGGAGCAAACAGG
rnacentral:rRNA from 1 species